rnacentral:rRNA from 1 species
UACGUAGGGGGCGAGCGUUGUCCGGAUUUAUUGGGCGUAAAGAGCUCGUAGGCGGCUCUUCGCGUCGGAUGUGAAAGCUCAAAGCUCAACUUUGAGAGGCCAUUCGAUACGGGAGAGCUAGAGGCAGGUAGGGGAGAGCGGAAUUCCUGGUGUAGCGGUGAAAUGCGCAGAUAUCAGGAGGAACACCGAUGGCGAAGGCAGCUCUCUGGGCCUGUUCUGACGCUGAGGAGCGAAAGCUGGGGGAGCGAACAGG